UACGGAGGGGGCUAGCGUUGUUCGGAAUUACUGGGCGUAAAGCGCACGUAGGCGGCUUUGCAAGUCGGGUGUGAAAGCCUGGGGCUCAACCCCAGAAGUGCAUUCGAAACUGCAGAGCUUGAGUGUCGGAGAGGGUGGUGGAAUUCCGAGUGUAGAGGUGAAAUUCGUAGAUAUUCGGAGGAACACCAGUGGCGAAGGCGACCACCUGGACGAACACUGACGCUGAGGUGCGAAAGCGUGGGGAGCAAACAGG
rnacentral:rRNA from 1 species